AUUGAACGCUGGCGGCAGGCCUAACACAUGCAAGUCGAACGAGUGGCGGACGGGUGAGUAAUGUCUGGGAAACUGCCUGAUGGAGGGGGAUAACUACUGGAAACGGUAGCUAAUACCGCAUACCAUCGGAUGUGCCCAGAUGGUAUUAGCUAGUAGGUGGGGUAAAGGCUCACCUAGGCGACGAUCCCUAGCUGGUCUGAGAGGAUGACCAGCCACACUGGAACUGAGCCACGGUCCAGAUUCUUACGGGCGGCAGCAGGGGGUAAUAUGUCACAAUGGGUGCAAGCCUGAUGCAGCCUUGCCGGGUGGAUUAAGAAGGCCUUCGGGUUGUAAAGUACUGUCAGCGGGGAGGCGUUACCCGCAGAAGAAGCACCGGCUAACUCCGUGCCAGCAGCCGCGGUAAUAC
rnacentral:rRNA from 1 species